rnacentral:lncRNA from 1 species
AGUCUGUGAGCUGGGAGCCUGUUGGCAGGUCCCUCUUUUUAUUUUCGCUGAGAGCUUUCUUUUACUAAAUGCCACCAUCCUUACCUUUCAAGGUGUCUGCGUGCCUAAUUUUUCCUGGUUGUUAGACAAGAACCCGGAUUUUAGUUGAACUCUGGAGCAAAAAUCCUGCAUCAUUUGUAGGUCAACAACAAGAGGCCAGGACCUCCCAAGAAAAGCUUUACUAAUGUAAUAGCUUUGGCCAAGUCCACCCAAUAUAUUUUCCUCUCUGCAAAGAGAAACAAGCUAUUGUCUCAUCUUAGGUUUCAUCUUCUUCCAUGCCACUGUUAUUCAUGUUCAAAUCCUGGCUGUCCUUCAGGGUCCAAUUCAAAUGAUUAUCGCCAUUUUCUAUUAAUGUCAUUUCUUCCUAUUUUCUACCUUUUGUUAGCUAUGUUAAAGUGUUUCUUUACCAACAUCCCCCAUAUAUUGUGUAACACAGUGUCUAUGGCUUACUCAUUUUUGAAUCCUUAUCAUGACCUGACAUAAUGAAGAUUCUUAGUACAUAGUGAUACAUGUAAAUAUGAGUUAAUUAGUACAUGAUAGACUUGAUUUCCAGAAUGAUUUUGUAUAGUUGAAUUGUGUAGUAAGGGGACACAUGUGAAAUGAAGACUUUAGUCAGUAUCAAGAAGAUAUUUUGGGUGACUUCACAUAUCUGCCAAUGAUAAAUCUAGAAACAAUAGGUGCUUGGGUAGGUGAUUUCCUUUUGCCUUCUUUAUCAUUGUUUUCCCAGUAUUUCUUACAUUCAUCUAAUUUCAUUAGAUGCCCAUAUACUUUAUACUGGCUCUUCCUGUGAGGUUCGAACUGGUCCAGUCCAUUUGUUUUCAGAAUUGAUUCAUCUGGAGAGUCAUCUCCUAUCCUCCCAAACAAUGAUAUACCAGUCUGAGGACUGUGUAGAAGGGACUUCUCUUUCUACUCAGUAUGACCAAAAUAAUUCAAUUCUAGUUGUGGUGUGUGAUUUAUGAAUAUUUUGUCCUUUAGUUUGUGUGAGCCAAUUUUGUGCCAUAAGAAUUUUAGCCUCCUUUUCCACAAAAGAGUGAUUUAAUCAAACAAAAGUUGACAAUCAAUGUAGUACAUUUGUGUGACAGUGAUUAAACAUGGUGUUUUUCUCUUAGGUGUCUGAGUAGAUUUGGAAAUGCCCAUUCAGCCCUCAGAGCUCCUCUGCUUUAAGGGUGAUGGACUUCCUGUACCACUACGUAGUGCAUGAGUGCCAGCCACUGGUAUCUAGAACUGUGAUUAGUGAGGAAACACUAGGAGGAACAAACAACCCAACUCUUUUUAUCUAAUCUGUUGACUCCAAAGGGACCUUCUGCUUAUUCCAGUUAAAACUCAAGCUGCAAUUCAAAAUGAAAUCAGUAUCUUUUUUCUCUACUUUUCAGCAAAGCAAGAUGCUACCUUAUAAUUACCACGUAACAAUCAAUCGCAAACAUAGUGGCUUAAAGCAGCUCCUCUUUUAGCCUACAUAUCUGCAAACUGGCAGUCUGGACUGAGCUCAGCUGGAUGUUUUUUCUGAGCUGAUCAUGUAUGUAGGGUCUGCUGCUGGCUGGUUUAGACUGAUGGUGGAUGAGAAACCACAUGAAGAAGAGAGGCAUGAUGGUGGCAGAGUUCUGAAAGAGUCACACAGAAGGGCGUUGAGUUCGUGGCUUGAAAAUAGCAUCCUGUCACUUCUACCACAUUCUAUUUACCAGGCCAGCCCAGAUAAAGAUGUGAAGAAACAGACUCCAUCUCUUGAUGGGAGAAGUUGAAAAUCAAUGGAAAAUGGCAUGGAUAAGGAAAGGAGUGAUGAUUGUGGCCAUAUUUGUAAUGGCCAUAUUUGAUACCCUUUUCAGUUUUCCUAGCCACACUUCUCAUUGGCCAGGAAAAUUAAAUGCAUGUCAACACUGAAGAAAACAGAUCUUGGUUAAAAGCAAUGAUGUAGCUAAUAUCCCGUUCAGGUAAAAGAUUACUUAUAUAGUGUGAGACAGGCAUGAGGCAGAGAAGUGCUUACAGGUUGGUUUCUGCUUUGUUAGCAGAUUUACUUUUAGAUCAUAUACUACUUUGUUUUUACUGUUUUAUUGAGAAAAAAUAACAAAUAUUUCCAAAAUUUUGCAGCAUGCAACUCAGUGCUUCAGUUGGCAUUCAAUCAAAAUUUCCUUGAAAUAAAAAAAGACAAGAGAGAGACUUGGAAUUAUGACUCUUCUACUAGAUUAGCUCCUUCAUGUCAAAAUCUGUCAAGUUUAUGAUUUAUUCAGAUAGCACUUGUUUUUGGUGUAAUAACUAAACUGUUGCUUUAGAGUCUACUACAUUCUCCUCUAUUAUUUGGCAUUUUUCUCUUUAUUAUUUUGUUCAAGUAGGAUAUUGUGCUGAGUUGAACCAUGAAAUGAAUUGUAUUGAGCAACAUCAACAACAUAAAUAUUCUGGGGUGUCAUCUGCAUUUUCAUAUCUGGCUGCUCAAAUUCUUUUUACAGCUAUAGCUUUGAUAAUAAUGUAAUAGCAUAAUGUUUUUCAUUAGAUAUCAAAUCAUAGAAGACAACAAAGAUGUGUUAAGUUAGCAUAGUUUAAUAUAAGGAAACAACAGCAUCAGUAAAAGCAUUGAGCACUAAAUAUCUCUUCCAUUUCAGUUCUUUUACAGGAAGCUUUUGUUACGUGUUGUCAGCACAUUGCUGUGAUGCUCAAGUAUAGCUCUUUAAUGUGAAAACCUGGUAUUUGGGCAUGGCUUGAAGCAGGUGGGUGUCAUUGUGACUGGCUGCUACCUCCCCAUGAGUCUUCUAAAAUAAAACCUGCAAAUUCACAUCUUCCCCAUGCUUCCAGAGAAUGCAUAUUCUUCCUUUGAAAAAAGAAAACCAGCUGUCACAGAGGUCAUAGAAUUGGGCUUAUUGAGAAGGAAAGGUAAAUGCUAGUACACUACUUGGCUCAGAAGUGAACAAAAUUGCAGUUUGCUCAAACAACUCCAUAGGAAAAAGUCUAAUAAUCUGAUGUAAAAAUGGGCAGAAGAUUUGAAUAGAUAUUUCUCAAAAGAAGACAUACGAAUGGCAAACAGACAUAUGAAAAUGUACUCAAAAUCAUUGAUCAUCAGAGAAAUGUAAAUCAAAACUGCAAUGAGAUAUCAUCCGACUCCAGUUAAAAUGGCUUUUAUCCAAAAGUCAGGCAAUAAAAAAUGCUGGUAAGGAUGUAGAGAAAAGGGAACCCUUGUACACUGUUAGUGGGAAUGUAAAUUAAUACAAUCACUAUGGAGAACAGUUUGGAGGAUCCUCAAAAAACUAAAAAUAGAGCUACCAUAUGAUUCAGCAAUCUCACUGCUAGGUAUAUACCCAAAAGUAUAUUGAAGAGACAUCUGCACUCCCAUGUUUGUUGCAGCACUGUUCAUAAUAGCCAAGAUUUGGAAGCCACCUAAGUGUCCAUCAACAGAUGAAUGGAGAAACUGUGGUACAUAUACACAACGGAGUGCUAUUCAGCCAUAAAAAAGAAUGAUACUCUGUCAUCUGCAACAACAUGAAUGGAACUGGAGAUCAUUAUGUUGUUAAAUAAGCCAGACACAGAAAGACAAACAUCACAUAUUUUCACUUAUUUUGGGGAUAUAAAAGUCAAAACAAACUCAUGGAGAUAGAGAACAGAUAGACGGUUACCAGAGGCUAGGAGGAGGAGUGGUGGGGGGCAGUUAGUGAUGGUUAAUUGGUACAAAAAAAUGGUUAGAAAUAAUAAAUAAGACCUAGUAUUAGAUAGGACAACAGGAGGACUAUAGUCAAAAAUAAUUUAUUUGUACAUUUCAAAGUAACUAAAAGAGUGUAAUUGUAUUAUUUGUAGCACAUAGGAUAAAUGCUUGAGGUGACGGAUACCCCAUUUACCCUGAUGUGAUUAUUACACAUCGUAUGCCUGUACCAAAAGAUCUCAUGUACCUCAUAAAUACAUACACCUACUAUAUACCCACACAAAUUAAAAAUUAAAAAAAUUUAAAGAAAUUACAGUUUGUUGGUUUUGAAUAUUUGACCAAAUUUUUUACUAAGCACAGAUAGAUUGAAUAUAAUUUUAUUGUCCUUUUGACAUUAUGAUAAUGAAGGUAUCUACACAGAAGUCUGAGAUGAGAAAAAAAUGAUAUAAUAUCCACCUACUACAUAGUGGGUAGUUUAUAUACUAAAGUUAUUGUUAUGAGAAAGAAUGGCUUAGGAAUAUUAUUUAAAAUUAAUUAAGGGGUGUUAAAAAUAAAAUACCAAGUGUAAAAAUGACAAAGGCAAGAAGAAACAGUAUAUAAUGUGAGUAAAUCUUAAUCUUUCCAAGAGAGGAGACAGUACAUAAUGUCUAAAAUUGUUAAACCAUGAAAUAGAAAUAUAGUUAUUUUAUUCAUAAUUAAGGAGAUAACUACUAUAGCACGAAAUCGUGCCAAAAAUGGUUGCCUCUGGGAAAUGUGAUUAUAGAUAUUAUAAUAUUUUGGACUGUAAAAAUCUGCUUUUAAGACUGAGGAAAUACAAAUAGGACAAUAUUUAUUUGAAAUUUGUAUCCUCAGGGAGUGUAAAGAAAUUAAUGUAUCCACAAAAUAAUAAUAGCUGCUAUUUGAAAACAUAGUUUUCUUGAAAGUUAAAAUAGUAAUAGUCUUCUAAAAAUUUUGUUAGUUUUGGUUUUCUCUUUAAUCUGAGUUAUGUAGAAAAGUGCUUAUUUCAAAUUAGGUAGGCUUGUUUUAUUCCUUUUUCUGUCUUUUUUCUAUCAACUAGUGUUUUAUUGUGUUCAGAAAAUGCCAUGCAUUAAAAGACUACUUUUGAGAAUUUCUAGAGAUUUUCUUUGUUACUAAAGAGAUUUUUGUAAUUGUUACAUGGGAUUUUAAAAAGAAUGUAAAUUAUCCUUUUUGUCAAGUAUAAUGAUUUCUGAAACCUAGCUGUGUCAGAAUACUGUAUAAUACUGUAAUAGUAUGUUGUUUUUGGCUAUGUGUACUUAUUUCUUAGAGUGGUAUGUUAAAGCCUCGACCUUGUGACUUUGUUUAUUUCUCUCUCUACAUCUAAACAUUUCCAAGACAUGUUAUUUGCAAUACCAAGACCAUAACUAUUAUGUAUUUAAUCAAAAUAAAAUAUUUCGGCUCUCUAUAAUUCACCUUGAACUUUAUUUUGUUAAAUAUAAAUGUUGUUGAUUAUACAACAUUUCAUUAUCAAUCCCUAGACACAUUUCUAAUCCACUAUAAUUGUUUUAAAAUAAAAGGAGAAGGGAAGGUUGUA